AGAAGUUUUGAUCCUCGGCUCAGGAUGAAUGCUGGCGGCGUGCCUAACACAUGGCAAGUCGAGCGGUAACAGGGGUAAUUUUAGUUACCUGCUGACGAGCGGCGAACGGCUGAGUAACACGUGGGAACAAUGCCCCAAAGUGAGGGAUAACUGCUCGAAGGAGUAGCUAAUACCGCAUAUGAUCUUCGGAUUAAAGGAUUUAUCCGCUUUGGGAGUGGCCUGCGUACGAUUAGAUAGUUGGUGAGGUAAUAGGCUUACCAAGUCUACGAUCGUUAGCUGGUCCGAGAGGAUGACCAGCCAGACUGGAACUGGGACACGGUCCAGACUCCUACGGGAGGCAGCAGUGAGGAAUCUUCCACAAUGGGCGAAAGCCUGAUGGAGCAACGCCGCGUGCAGGAUGAAGGCCCUCGGGUCGUAAACUGCUUUUAUAAGCGAAGAAUAUGACGGUAACUUAUGAAUAAGCACCGGCUAACUACGUG
rnacentral:rRNA from 1 species